UCACCUGGUGGCUUCAUGUGUGAACACCUCUUGGAAUUUCAGUUCCUCCGUGAAGUUUCAUAUAAUGAUAAACCUUCAUGCAUGAGCAUGGUAGGAACUUUGCUUGCAAAGAACUCCUUGUUGCUUGCCAUACUAGUGGCAAGUAUAAUGGUUCUUGUGAAAUGAUUUGUACUUUCAGUUAAGCAAAGUCACCAAAUUGGCCUGGCUUCAGAGGCCAAGAGUCACACCAUUCCUAUGGGAAAUAGAAACUGAACUCAGUAAAUGGGAGCACAUGAAUGCUGGCAUGUGUUUAACUCCACCACUCCUUUGAUCAGUACAAUUUCUGGGUAAGCAAGUUCUCAGUGUGCACUCAUCUUCUCAUUUACAUUCUCCUCGUGUUAAGUCUUUAUAAUGAGAACAUUUGUGCAGAAUGAAAAUCAGUCCUGAGAGAGAGCCGGGCUGAGAAGUAAAACACACUCAUAGUGGAGCAGUAAUUAGAGCAGUAUAUAGGAAAACCAAAAAGGAUACGGCUGCCAUUCCUGGCAUAGCAAAGCGGGCAUGCUGGCAUUGAUAAGCAAGUGUUGGCACAAUGUGCCUGACUGCUGGGGUCUGCUUUCUGCUCCUGCUGUGUUUGGGUUUUGUUUAGCAAUUCCCAGAUUCAAAAUGCAGAGACUGGAAUGGGGAACUAUCUCUUCCAAGGGUCUAUCCUCACUACUGGAAAUUAAAGUCCCUGAAGAAUUAAGGUAGUUAAGAGAGUUAAGAAACAAACAACACAUCAGGAUUUCAGCAGAAGCUUAUUUGAAAUAAAAGGAGAUUUUUCUUUCAGAUAAGAAAGGGGUGUUUUGAGGUUGGAGCUUACUCUGGAGGUUCUGGGUUUCGAGGAAGAUUACAGCUAUGAAUUAGAAAUCAUGGAAAGCAUUGCACUUUUGGAAUCCUUUUUUUCAUUCUUUUCAGCCACACAAAGAACUUCAGACUCUGAAACAUUCAGAAGAGAAGAAGAAAUAACAGAUACUGGCAUGAUUUGACUUCAGUCAUAACUCAGACAACCAAGGUGUAGCAGAAAAACAAAGUCAAGGUAAAAAGCCAUCAGCUACCAGCAAAACAGCUGCCAGAGUAAGAGAGCUUUGGUGAGUGAAAAUGUUCGGAAGAAUAAGUGGUGAGAUGAAGAAAACUGUCAGUGUUGUCUGCAUCUGGUCAGCUGAGGGGGACACACCUGCAUUUGUCACUCAGAUGCACUGUAGAGCCAAAUGCCAUUGUUUCUGGACACGUUUUCCAAUCAAAUAUAUCAGCGAGGAAAGGCUGACUGAUCAUGUUGCUGUGUAAUACCUCUCUGGCAGAACACUGGAGUGAGGUGUGUGGGGAAUCCUGUGGGUAAACCCCACAAGACAAGACAAAGAAGUCUGAGAUUGAAUCUGCACACUCAAGUAAGGGAUCUCCGGAGAAGCAAAGAAGCAGGAUGUGUUAUUGAAAUUCUUUCACUGAGAAUGUUUUUCCGUAGUGCAGGUCCACUGAAGCUCUGUGUUUGGAAAUCAAAGCCAAGUCCCCAAAUGUUCACAGGUAGCUAUGCAGUCUCACUGUGAAUGAUCUUACAGUCCUAGAGUUUCUGUGUUCCCAGCCAUCAGGGCAGCACAGAGCAGAGCAGUAACACAUCUCCCUCCCUUCUCUAGGAGCAUAUUUAUAAGCAAAUGCUAACAAGCGACUGAAGCAUCAAGCUGCCAGUUGUGUCACAAUAUGCUUGUAAUGUACAGAAUGUAAGAGGAAAUGAAAUGUCUGUUUUUUGUGUAGGUAGGUGAAUUAGCAGUCACUACAAAAACAGGCAAAUAUGGUAACUGCGUAAAUUAAAAGACCAUUAUGCUAUAAAAUGAGAUGCAUUGCUGCACUUGGUUGCAGUGAAUGACUGCUAAAAAAGGGUCAUUGUAUAGAACUGCCAGCCCAACGUACUAAAAAAUAAUAUCGCAAAGAUGGAGACAAAGUUUCAGAAGUGAAGGCAGAAAAAGGAAAAAGGCAGACUAAUUCUUAAGUAAAUACAGAUAUUUAUUAUUUCACCCUUCCUGGCAAAACUUCAAGUGCAGGACAGGUAUCUAAAGACUAUUGUAGCAUUAUGUGAAAAAUAUAAAAAAAUCUCUAAGGAAACAUAACUGAAGUGGCCUUCAGUAUUAAAUGAAGCAUACAUAUAGAACUAUUGUUCAUCAAACUAACUACAAGGGGGCUAAAAUACAGAGGACACCCCCUUAACUUGUGCCUUGAAGGAAGAUAAAAGGACAUGAAAUUAGGCACUGUUUUGAGAGACUAGGAAUUAGCUCGUUUAAUAUUAUCCCAGACACUUCUUGCAUUUUCAGUUUAUGAAGAUUUAUUAUUUCCAAAAUAACACAGAUUAAACGUAUUACUGGACAUUACCUGAUUUAGUGAGUCCCACUAAAGAAGGUCCCUGUGGAGAACGCCCACAUCAGUUUGUGUCAUUUUGUCUUGUUACUAUUGUACAUUUAAUUUAUAUCCAUGAUAACUAUGGGGAUUCUCCUUCAUAAUCACUGGCUGAGCUCUUGGCUCUUUUACUCAUGUAGCAUUUCUGGAUCAUCAAUGUGAAUUAAUAAUUUAUGUAAGAUAAUAAUUUACACUAGGGGAUCUGAUGGAGUAACAGAGCCUGGAGGCUGCAGGAUCAAAGCGAACAUCUUUGCUGUAGUCAUUUAUAUCAGGAUCAUGAAGAUUGAAUAAAGGGCCCUCAUGGAGAGGAGAAAAGAUGUGUCCUAUCACGCUGAGUGAACAACCUACUACACCAGCACAAGACAACCAGGGUGGGAAGGUGAACAUGAAUAGAUCAUAGCACAACAUUUCUCUUUUGCCUCAGUUUGGGCAUCUUCAACUGAUGACGAAGAGAUUUUUCCAAUGACCAUGCGGGCAUGGGGUAGGAGGUGAGGAGUCUCCACUGCUGCCAUCAGGAUCCUGUAUCUCCCCACACCAUGCCUUGUACAGCAGCUCAGACUGGUUGUAAGCAGCCUCUUAUCCAUCAGGGGAGCCAAAAAAACACUUGAGAUGAAAGCCAGCUACGCUUGGAUCUGCACACAGGUGUGCAGCCAAGCCUGAUGCUCAGCACACAUACCUGAGCCAGCCAUGCCAGGCCAUGGGGUCAGGGGAAGCUCACAGCCUGCACUGUGGGGCCUCAUCCCUCUACUCCUGCUUCACAGAACAUCUGUAGUUGCAAAGCAGCCAGUGGAGUAGCCAGGCCCAGGGCACUAAGCAGAGCUGUUCCUGCUACCAGCAGGCAUUUCCACCAAACACUGUGUUAGCUAACACAUGAGCACAUUAACAUUACUAUUAAUAUUCCAGCCUCCAAUUGGUCCUUGUAAGAAUUAGGAAAAGGAGGUUUCAGAGCACUGUUAACAUUUGUUAAUCAUUAUCCUUUGAAGAAAUCCCUUAGUGCUUUGCUCUGCCAAAAUACUGGGCGCUCCCUUACCCCAUUUCCUUUGCCAAAGAGAAGAUUCCUUCUGCUGCAGCUGGGCCCAGGAGAUCGGUCAUGAUAGCACAGGGGGCAUGGGGCCAAAAUCAGUCAGAAACCCUGAGGGAUGGAUGUUCACAUACUCACUUGUGUUCCCUUUACUUUCCUCUGCAGAGACAGAGGCUUUUAUAAGAAGAAAGGUGCAGGUACCAGGAGAUUUUUCCUUCCCACUCCUCUCUGCUAGGGAGAAAAAGAAGCUUCUAUUGACAGCACACCCAAAAGCCAAACAAACAUGGACUGGGAAACAACAAAGUCAGCAAAACUGAUUUCAAAUCAAAGCAUGCUUCAAAAGGGUCUUCGAUCACUCAGGUUUCUGCAUUGAGAGAAAGGGUAUAGGGGCAGAAUCCCAGACUAGAACCAGGGGCAGUUGUUCAUAGGCAUUUAUUGGGCAGUUGUUCAUAGGCUGAGAUACUGACUGAACAAUAGAGGACUUUUAGCAGUAGUAGCAGUAGUAUUCCAAUCUACUUUAGAGUAACACUUAAAAACUGUCACUGCCACCCAACUGAGGUAAUUUCACCCAAUGGUCUGCAGGAAAAAGGCAUCCAAGGUGGGGCAUUUAACAAAAACAACAGUAGCUUUAGGGCAAAUGUUCUGUUCUGAACCGCAGCAGUAAACGCAGAUAAAUGAUGGAGAAGUGGACUUGCAGACAUCUUAAAAAAUUCAUUCCUCAAGUGACAUUACUCUUUAACGAGCUCAAAAAUCAUUGUGCACCAAACUGCGUAAAUAAUCAGCCCAGUCCUGUGUCAAAUAAAUACUGGAGAAGUGUUUUUUCCUUCAUUUUUGAGUUUCCUUGCCUAAAGUAUUUCAGAGCUAAGUGAGAAUGUGAUCUAGCCCCUACCCUAGCAGGUAUUCUGCUCAUUGAGCUCUCAUGCAAAUACACAUUGUUUCGAAUCACAGGUUUUCCAAAUACACUUUGCUCAUACAAAUAUAGGAGCUCUAUUAAAGCAGAAAUCCACCUGUGACAAUAAGCUGCAGUAGCUGCUUAAGUAGUGGCAGCUGAGUGUUUCUUUCCCUUGCAGAUCCUCCCAGUUUCCUGCAAUCAGCCUUUCAGGGAUUCUGAGAGUGGGAGUUUGUGUCUGGAGCUGGAGGGUUUGAUUACAAGUCUGAUUACAAAAAGUGAAAAUGAAAAGACAUAAGGAGAGAAUAAUAAAAGACAGUUGGAGGCAUAAGGGAAUUAAUGAGCUAGAGAAGAACGCAAUUCUGUUUAACAAUGAUGAAUUGAGUUUUGUUUGGUAUCGUCCUAACUCUCACCAAAGCAAAGUGCUGAUGGACCUGAUUUGGGAACAUAUGCUGUAAACACGUACCCACCACAGCAUGCACAGGAAGUGGCAAAGCACAUAUUGUAUCACAGACCUUAGCACCACGUAGCAAGCAUCAUCCAAAGCAUUUGAAUACUUAGAUCAUCAGCUUUUUAUUACCGUGCUGGAUCAGAAACAUUAGGCUCUUGUGUAAGGAGGAUGUGGGCAGCACUGGUUUUCUAACAGGAAGGUUCAAAUCCUUGCCACCCAGACAACCCAAAGGCCAUGGCCACUGGCUGAGGAGCAGUCACAUUGUUCUGCACAGAAUGGAUGAGGUACUAUUAACAAGCUCUCCCUAUCACAGGUGAACAGUUUGGGUAAUUUAUACCCUCUCAGGUCUAAUGCAUUUCAGCCAGGCCAGAGGGUCAAAUGUAGUAUGUCAGGCAGAACAGCUAACACAGAGCAGCCUUUUGGCUGCAGUUGUACUUUGAAAGACAAUGUUCUUACAGCACUCUUAGGUCAGGAGAAAUGUCAUAUGAAAGCUAAUUGUAAUUGAAAUUCAGGCCUGAUGCACUUUUGUUUUUUCCACUCAGUUUGGGGGUGGAAUAGCAUUACCACAGCUAGCAGAAGAGUCUGAUUCUUCUUUAUGUACCAGAUCUGCUAAAUGGAGAGAAAGUAUUACUGAGAUGAGAAUAAGACUGGUAACACACUGGUGUUGUAGCUGUUGCUGAACUGUGCUGUACAGUGCCAAGGAUGUUUCAGCUCCUUCUGUUGUCCUACCAGCAAGGAGAUGGAGUUGCACAAGAUGCUGAAAGAGGACAUUGCCAGGACAGCUGACCUAAGCUGGCCGAAGGAAUGUUCCUUACCAAGUGGGAGUUAGUCAGGAGGGCUGCUGCUGCUUGGGGACUGGCUGACAGAAGUCAAAAAGUGGGUUCUACCCCAUCCCACUGCAGGGCACUGAGCAAAUGGCUGAGUGGUGGUGAGCUGCCGGACAGCUUAAACCGCAAUAGGCUCGAGGUCCCACCAGCUUUCUGAGGGUUGUGGCAGGAGCAACAGCCACAGUAAUUCAAGGAAGUUUUAUUUUCAAAUGCAGAUCUCAGCACUGAAGCAGAUCUUUGGCAUAUGUCAGUGUAGUUUUAUUGACUAAAGUUUAUUCUGUACAAGCCUACCUGAAAAUGUACUUUUAGGAUUAUUCUUUCCACACUAAUGGAGAAACAGAUUUAUCCAGUGAUAAAAAGAAAUCUGUGUAUUCAGACGUGCUCCACAGUGUGCUCUUCCUCAUCUACCAGAGUAAAAAUGUUGAACUUAUGUUUGUGGAUUGUGGUUGUCUUAGUGUUCAACAUAAAUUUUAAGCAAAUGCAAUAGGCUUAUGCCUCCAGAUAUCACAGCUGCCAUUAAUUAGUAAUCCUGGAAAAUCUGCUCAGAGUUAACAACAGGUGACUAGAUAAGCAACUAACCCAAGUCCUAACUACUGGCUGGAUUAGCUGAAAGUUUUUCUUUAUUGUCACUGGGGUUUUCCAUUGCUAUUUGGGCUGAAAAUACUUUGCAAAUAGUUUAACAGAACCUGUGAGAGGGGGAAAAUGUUGAAAACAAAAAGUAACAUUUCUGUAACUAAUGAUAUGUCUUUGCCCAGAGAAAUGAUUAAAAUACUGAUAAACCAAGAGAAGAUCUUAACGGGUUUUUGAAGAUGUGAGUCUUUGUUCAGUUAUAAUACUCUUAAUAUAUCUCUGUCACUUUGUAUGCUGUAUGAGUCCUCUUCUGACCUUGUAAAUUGAGUUUUAGAUGUAUACUUAUCUGCAGUCCUCAUUUGCAAUGCCAGAGGCAAUUUAAUUGUUCAAUACUUUCAUUAGUCUGCUAUUGAUCGGUUCCUUUUCUUCCCCACUGUGCAGAGAACGGUGCAUUUCCUCUUGCUAUUUACGAUUUAACAAACUCUGUUACUGUUUCUAUGGCAUUUUGAUGGUUUUGACACUAAUCUUGCCUACGGGCACUUAAAGCAACGUUUUAUUUAAAACAACGUUCUAAGCAAUUUUACCCAGCUUGGCAAGUUCUUUUCCACUGAGCUCUUAGUAAAUCUCUUCUCCUCCCUGCCUCUCUCCCAGCAUCUAUUAAACCAAAUUCUAGGCUGGGAAGGGAGAGACUUUCCUCAGGUGGCUAAAGGCAUUUAUUGGCUAAUACUGAUAGUUAAAGAGUGAUGGUACUGAAGCUGAUCUCUGGCCUAUAUUGGGAAGAAGAGAACCCUAACAUGGUCUGGAAACUGUCUGUUUUCCAGCAGGCUGAAGGAGCACUAGCUAUUAUGGAGCAGGGUGCUGAAAGAGACCAGGUUAUGUGCAGGCAGUGAGCAGCUGAAAUGGAAAUUUGAGGUAUGUAAUGAGGCCAAUCCCCAUGUCUACACCCAGAAGCAUGUGCAGUCCUCUAUCUUUGCACUGCCAAUGCCUGCUGCGGGCCCCAGGCCUGCUCCAAAAGCAGGUACAUCCAGCUUGCCCUGGGAAACGUCAUGAAAAAGAAGGUCCCUCACUUUUGCAAGCAGCUUGUCUCUGUAAGUGCUUUUACUAGUAAGAAUGUAGUCCUAAUUGCUAAUUGAAUUCCUCUGGAUUUACCUUUCGGGAAGGAUUUUUUGAUUUAUGUUCUCUGAUAGACUAAAGAAGUUCUCUACGUCUUUUAUUUUGUACCUGGAAAAGAUAUAUGCUGUAAUCAUUGUAUGACAGCUGAAAUGGACCGAACGGAUUUUAUCAGCAAUGAUUCUUCAUUAUUAUUUCACAUUAUCAUUUUUCCUAGGGUUCAUGUCGAGGCGUAUUACGUUAUUCAUGCUGACAGUCUUUUAAAAACUAUCAGCACUGUGUUAUCACCCUGCUCCAUCAUCUGGAACUUCUUUGCUGUUAAUGGGGAAAAGAUUUCUUUGAAAAUCCCCGUAAGGUGGGAAUAGAUUAGUUACAUCUACUCUAUUCAUUAUUUUUUUCCUGAAUAUUUUUAACUUUUCCAUGAGUUUCCAGUGGCAUCCUAAUAGGGACCAGGUAGCUUCCCCUAUUUCCAAAUACAGA